rnacentral:rRNA from 1 species
AUACGGAGGAUGCAAGCGUUAUCCGGAUUUAUUGGGUUUAAAGGGUGCGUAGGCGGUUUGCUAAGCGGGAGGUGAAAUGCCGGCGCUCAACGUCGGAAGUGCCUCCCGAACUGGUGGACUUGAAUGACUCUGCCGUGGGAGGAAUGUGUAGUGUAGCGGUGAAAUGCUUAGAGAUUACACAGAACACCGAUUGCGAAGGCAGCUCACGAAGGGGUGAUUGACGCUGAGGCACGAAAGCGUGGGGAUCAAACAGGAUGAGAUACCCUGGUAGUCCAGGCCGUGAACGAUGAAUACUAGGUGUAGUGUUUCUAUAGAGAUUCGGUGCCGCAGCAAACGCAAUAAGUAUUCCACCUGGGGAGUACGUUCGCAAGAAUGAAACUCAAAGGAAUUGACGGGG